rnacentral:rRNA from 1 species
GCAGUCGAGCGGAACGAGUUAGUCAUGAACCUUCGGGGGACGAUAACGGCGUCGAGCGGCGGACGGGUGAGUAAUGCCUAGGAAAUUGCCCUGAUGUGGGGGAUAACCAUUGGAAACGAUGGCUAAUACCGCAUGAUGCCUACGGGCCAAAGAGGGGGACCUUCGGGCCUCUCGCGUCAGGAUAUGCCUAGGUGGGAUUAGCUAGUUGGUGAGGUAAGGGCUCACCAAGGCGACGAUCCCUAGCUGGUCUGAGAGGAUGAUCAGCCACACUGGAACUGAGACACGGUCCAGACUCCUACGGGAGGCAGCAGUGGGGAAUAUUGCACAAUGGGCGCAAGCCUGAUGCAGCCAUGCCGCGUGUGUGAAGAAGGCCUUCGGGUUGUAAAGCACUUUCAGUCGUGAGGAAGGUAGUGUAGUUAAUAGCUGCAUUAUUUGACGUUAGCGACAGAAGAAGCACCGGCUAACUCCGUGCCAGCAGCCGCGGUAAUACGGAGGGUGCGAGCGUUAAUCGGAAUUACUGGGCGUAAAGCGCAUGCAGGUGGUUUGUUAAGUCAGAUGUGAAAGCCCGGGGCUCAACCUCGGAAUUGCAUUUGAAACUGGCAGACUAGAGUACUGUAGAGGGGGGUAGAAUUUCAGGUGUAGCGGUGAAAUGCGUAGAGAUCUGAAGGAAUACCGGUGGCGAAGGCGGCCCCCUGGACAGAUACUGACACUCAGAUGCGAAAGCGUGGGGAGCAAACAGGAUUAGAUACCCUGGUAGUCCACGCCGUAAACGAUGUCUACUUGGAGGUUGUGGCCUUGAGCCGUGGCUUUCGGAGCUAACGCGUUAAGUAGACCGCCUGGGGAGUACGGUCGCAAGAUUAAAACUCAAAUGAAUUGACGGGGGCCCGCACAAGCGGUGGAGCAUGUGGUUUAAUUCGAUGCAACGCGAAGAACCUUACCUACUCUUGACAUCCAGAGAACUUUCCAGAGAUGGAUUGGUGCCUUCGGGAACUCUGAGACAGGUGCUGCAUGGCUGUCGUCAGCUCGUGUUGUGAAAUGUUGGGUUAAGUCCCGCAACGAGCGCAACCCUUAUCCUUGUUUGCCAGCGAGUAAUGUCGGGAACUCCAGGGAGACUGCCGGUGAUAAACCGGAGGAAGGUGGGGACGACGUCAAGUCAUCAUGGCCCUUACGAGUAGGGCUACACACGUGCUACAAUGGCGCAUACAGAGGGCAGCCAACUUGCGAAAGUGAGCGAAUCCCAAAAAGUGCGUCGUAGUCCGGAUUGGAGUCUGCAACUCGACUCCAUGAAGUCGGAAUCGCUAGUAAUCGUGGAUCAGAAUGCCACGGUGAAUACGUUCCCGGGCCUUGUACACACCGCCCGUCACACCAUGGGAGUGGGCUGCAAAAGAAGUAGGUAGUUUAACCUUCGGGGGGAC